GCCGAGGUGGCGGAACCGGUAGACGCGAGGGACUUAAAAUCCCUUGGGUGUUUAGCCCGUGCGGGUUCGAGUCCCGCCCUCGGCA
rnacentral:tRNA from 1 species